CCUAGUAGCGGCGAGCGAAGCGGGAAGAGCUCAAAUUUAUAAUCUGGCACCUUCGGUGUCCGAGUUGUAAUCUCUAGAAAUGUUUUCCGCGUUGGACCGCACACAAGUCUGUUGGAAUACAGCGGCAUAGUGGUGAGACCCCCGUAUAUGGUGCGGACGCCCAGCGCUUUGUGAUACAUUUUCGAAGAGUCGAGUUGUUUGGGAAUGCAGCUCAAAUUGGGUGGUAAAUUCCAUCUAAAGCUAAAUAUUGGCGAGAGACCGAUAGCGAACAAGUACCGUGAGGGAAAGAUGAAAAGCACUUUGGAAAGAGAGUUAACAGUACGUGAAAUUGUUGGAAGGGAAACGCUUGAAGUCAGACUUGCUUGCCGAGCAAUCGGUUUGCAGGCCAGCAUCAGUUUUCCGGGAUGGAUAAUGGUAGAGAGAAGGUAGCAGUUUCGGCUGUGUUAUAGCUCUCUACUGGAUACAUCUUGGGGGACUGAGGAACGCAGUGUGCCUUUUGGCGGGGGUUUCGACCUCUUCACACUUAGGAUGCUG
rnacentral:rRNA from 1 species